CCUACGGGCGACAGCAGUGAGGAAUAUUGGUCAAUGGGCGGAAGCCUGAACCAGCCAAGUAGCGUGCGGGAUGAAGGCUCUACGGGUCGUAAACCGCUUUUGCACGGGGAUAACACCCUCCACUUGUGGAGGUCUGCAGGUACCGUUCGAAUAAGGGCCGGCUAAUUCUGUGCCAGAAGCCGCGGUAAUACGGAAGGCCCGAGCGUUAUCCGGAUUUAUUGGGCGUAAAGGGAGCGUAGGCGGGCGUUCAAGUCAGCUGUAAAAGCGCGCGGCUCAAACACGCCCCGCAGUUGAAACUGGGCGGCUUGAGUUCACAACAGGCAGGCGGAAUUCGUGGUGUAGCGGUGAAAUGCAUAGAUAUCACGAGGAACCCCGAUUGCGAAGGCAGCCUGCCGGGGUGCGACUGACGCUGAGGCUCGAAGGUGCGGGUAUCAAACAGGAUUAGAUACCCUUGUAGUC
rnacentral:rRNA from 1 species